AUUGGCUGAACGAUAUUCACCGCUUCGCUAGGUCCACUUUUCUAUACGAGGAACCAAAUAACACUUAAGUGUCAAACCCGCAACAGUCACGCCCUUGAUUUGGGCACUGAUGGUGGUAGAAAACUCAUUAGGCACAACGAGCCCUCCCGGCUGAUUUAAUUAUUCACAAGAGGAGAGCUUUUAUGUGUAUGAGUCACCAGACUCUAAACUGUGUGUUUACCAGGAUUUUUGCCAAGAGGUAGCAUUACCAUCACGUAACAAGCAUUUGGGUCUUAACUGGAACAUGAGUCAACGACGCCAAAAUGUUUGUAAAGGAUUUGACUGACACUGAUCGAAAAGCAUGAACAGGAUCGCAUUUAUCAGAUAGCUGCAGGCAAAUGCAUACUGAGGUAAAGAUUUGUGAAAGAUAGACGCUCUUUGCAAAUGGGAAAUCCGUGUCAACCAGAUAAGAAUAGGUGAAGGGCGGUAAACGAUAAAUUGCUUACAACGGGUUUGUAUUGACGACAAAGGACGCCAAUGCGCAGUGUUUUAUACCAUAUACUUCCUCCCACCUUCCUAAUGGGAUAACUGAAGGAUUCACCUGACGUUCCUCGGGGCGGGUUUACAUGGCGGAUGCCGUCGAUGAGGCAGAAGACCCUUACUCUCCCAGAACACCUGGUCAUUCUCUCCUUGCAAAUGUUCAGGAGUCUCAGUGUAAACCUUUCUUUUGUUAAUAUUUCAAAUCUGAGUUUGAAUUGACAUUUGGGUAUUUUCUUGUUGUCUUUCAUUGGAUGAUAGUCUGAAAAUACUUAAUUUCUGUAAUCAUAUCAGGUUUUAACUUUAGAUUAAUUCAAAACAACAGUCCAAUGUAAUAUUACCACUCAUACUGAAUUUGUUCCAUUAUGCAUCGUUUUGUAUAUGUAAUGUUAAUUUAAUGAGCACGUUUUCGCCACUUUUCUAUUAUGUAAGUAUAUAAGUUAGCAUCUUGUUAAUAUCCAUUUACAAUAGUUUGCAGCUAUUCCAGGUCACAAAAAAAGUUUUAAAAUAGCUUCCUUGUUUUGAGAACAUUUCGAAAAAAAUGAUUGUGAGCAAAUAUCUCUCGAAUUAAAGUAACUUAAAAAACAUGUAACACAGCAAUUUCUAUUUGUUUAAAUGAUUCCUAUAAUAAUAACCUCCAAAUAUUUAUAUUUGAUAUUAUUCAGCGCAUACUUUGUGCCAGAAUGGAAUGGGAUAUGUACAUGAUUCUAAAAACGACGCUAACGUGAAUAGCCCCUUUCAAUUUAGAGUAAGACACUGAUGAGGCAAAUUAUGAAUUAAACUGUAAUGUUUACCUAUUAAUUCUUCUUGGACUCGUC